UACUAGAGUAGCACUCGCAUAUCAAUAAGCGGAGGAAAAGAAACUAACAAGGAUUCCCCUAGUUACGGCGAGUGAAGCGGGAAGAGCUCAAAUUUGAAAUCUUAAAGGGUUUCCCUUUACGAAUUGUAGUUUAAAGAAGUGUUUUCUGUUGAGGUUUUGGUAAAAGUUCUUUGGAAUAGGACAUCAUAGAGGGUGAGAAUCCCGUAUUUGACCUUUACUUUCAACUUUGUGAUACACUUUCAAAGAGUCGGAUUGUUUGGGAAUGCAGUCCAAAAUGGGUGGUAAAUUUCAUCUAAAGCUAAAUAUUGGCGAGAGACCGAUAGCGAACAAGUACCGUGAGGGAAAGAUGAAAAGAACUUUGAAAGGAGAGUUAAACAGUACGUGAAAUUGUCAAAAGGGAAGCGUUUGACACCAGUGUUGUUUUUCUGAAAAUCAAUUAAAGAACUGUUUAUGCUAAGCUGUUUAGACUUUAUCAGCUAUCUGUUUAGUUUUGAGCUUUUCUUUAAUGCACUUUUCAGUUAACAAGUUAACAUCAAUUUCUUUUGCUGUAAAAAAGCUUGAGGAAGGUGGCUUGAGAUUCGUCUUAAGUGUUUAUAGCCUCUUGCCUAUGCAGUCGGAGAGAUUGAGGUCUGCAGCGUAGAUCCUUCGGGGCUAAUAUGCAUUUGUGCUAAGUUAUAGCAUUUUAUAGACAACUUGUUGACUAUGAUUUGUCUUGUAGCUUACUCGCUUAUGUUAUUUUACCUACGCUUAGGAUGUUGAACUCUAUCACACACAG
rnacentral:rRNA from 1 species